rnacentral:rRNA from 1 species
AGUGAACGCUGGCGGUAGGCCUAACACAUGCAAGUCGAACGGCAGCACCGUACGAGCUUGCUCUUACGGGUGGCGAGUGGCGGACGGGUGAGGAAUACAUCGGACUCUACUUUUUCGUGGGGGUUAACGUAGGGAAACUUACGCUAAUACCGCAUACGACCUACGGGUGAAAGCAGUGGAUCUUCGGACCUUGCGCGAUUGAAUGAGCCGAUGUCGGAUUAGCUAGUUGGCGGGGUAAAGGCCCACCCAGGCGACGAUCCGUAGCUGGUCUGAGAGGAUGGUCAGCCACACGGGAACGGGGACACGGUCCAGACUCCUGCGGGAGGCAGCAGUGGGGAAUAUUGGACAAUGGGCGCAAGCCUGAUCCAGCCAUACCGCGUGGGUGAAGAAGGCCUUCGGGUUGUAAAGCCCUUUUGUUGGGAAAGAAAAGCAGCAGGUUAAUACCCCGCUGUUCUGACGGUACCCAAAGAAGAAGCACCGGCUAACUUCGUG